rfam:Streptomyces sp. DSM 15324 genomic scaffold PRJNA299231_s013, whole genome shotgun sequence.
CUUCAACGAGCCGAGCAGCAGGGGCUGUUCACGGUCCUGGCCGUAGGUGGCGAGCAGCGCCUGCGCCUC